AGGGGGCAAGCGUUGUCCGGAAUUAUUGGGCGUAAAGGGCUCGCAGGCGGUUAUGUAAGUCUGAUGUGAAAUCUUAUGGCUUAACCAUAAGCGGUCAUUGGAAACUGCGUAACUUGAGUACAGAAGAGGAGAGUGGAAUUCCACGUGUAGCGGUGAAAUGCGUAGAUAUGUGGAGGAACACCAGUGGCGAAGGCGACUCUCUGGUCUGUAACUGACGCUGAGGAGCGAAAGCGUGGGGAGCAA
rnacentral:rRNA from 1 species